rnacentral:rRNA from 1 species
GACGAACGCUGGCGGCGUGCUUAACACAUGCAAGUCGAACGGAAAGGCCCUGCUUUUGUGGGGUGCUCGAGUGGCGAACGGGUGAGUAACACGUGAGUAACCUGCCCUUGACUUUGGGAUAACUUCAGGAAACUGGGGCUAAUACCGGAUAGGAGCUCCUGCUGCAUGGUGGGGGUUGGAAAGUUUCGGCGGUUGGGGAUGGACUCGCGGCUUAUCAGCUUGUUGGUGGGGUAGUGGCUUACCAAGGCUUUGACGGGUAGCCGGCCUGAGAGGGUGACCGGCCACAAUGGGACUGAGAUACGGCCCAGACUCCUACGGGAGGCAACAGUGGGGAAUAUUGCGCAAUGGGCGGAAGCCUGAUGCAGCAACGCCGCGUGCGGGAUGACGGCCUUCGGGUUGUAAACCGCUUUCGCCUGUGACGAAGCGUGAGUGACGGUAAUGGGUAAAGAAGCACCGGCUAACUACGUG